GAUGAACGCUAGCGGCAGGCCUAAUACAUGCAAGUCGAACGGGAUCCAGAUCAAAGCUUGCUUUGGUCUGGUGAGAGUGGCGCACGGGUGCGUAACGCGUGAGCAACCUACCCUUGUCAGGGGGAUAGCCCGGCGAAAGUCGGAUUAAUACCGCAUGACAUCAUUGAGAGGCAUCUUUCGAUGAUCAAAGAUUUAUCGGACAAGGAUGGGAUCGCGUGACAUUAGCUAGUUGGUAAGGUAACGGCUUACCAAGGCUGCGAUGUCUAGGGGCUCUGAGAGGAGAAUCCCCCACACUGGUACUGAGACACGGACCAGACUCCUACGGGAGGCAGCAGUAAGGAAUAUUGGUCAAUGGACGGAAGUCUGAACCAGCCAUGCCGCGUGCAGGAAGACGGCCCUAUGGGUUGUAAACUGCUUUUAUACGGGAACAAACGUCGGUACGUGUACCGGUCUGAGUGUACCGUAAGAAUAAGGAUCGGCUAACUCCGUG
rnacentral:rRNA from 1 species